GAUUUACAGCUUUUGUAUGUGUUAGCAUGUUCUCUGGCAAUGGGGAUAUCUCUCAACUAGUUUGUGUACUAUCUGAAGAGAUGUAUAACUAUCUAGAAUUUGAAACAUGAUAAUUUAUCUGGGAGUUAAAAAUAGCUUUAUUACUAUUUUGUCUCUCCUAAUGGAAGGAAUAAAUGGGCAGAUAUGACAGUCAUACUUCUUGGGUGUCGUUUGAUGAACUUUUAAUAUGCAAGGACUGACUUCAGCUUUAGGAAGUAUGUGGAGUGAUUCACAGAUUUAUUUUUUUGGUUGGUGAACAAACUCAUUUUUAAAACGUAAGUCCCUUUGUUCCAAAGCCUUAACAAAGGAAAGCUGAUGUUUUUUUAAUUUUGUUUUUAACAUAGAUUUUCAUAGCAUACCAACAGCCAAAUGAUACACUGUAGACAUUGAAAAGCUGAAGGAAAGUGUUCUGUCAGUGAUUCACCAUCAGAAGGUGUCAAUUGCUCUGAGUCCUAUGACUGCAUUAUGGAGUCAGUCAGGAUGUACAGAGGGUAGCAUGACACUGAUCUAAGCAGCCGGUAAUGUUCUUUAUGGAAUCUGCAACACUGGAGAUACUCGGAAGCCAUCUGGACGUGGUUCUGGGUAACCUGCUCUAGGUGGCCCAGCUUGAGCAUGGGGUUUGGACAGGAUGACUUCCAGAAAUCCAUUCCAACCUCAGCCAGUCAGUGAUUCUAUGACUGGCAACCUGGGAUUAUACAGAAGAUUCUCUGUCAGUGUAGCCCCGUUUGUAGUCAUGUUACAUAGAUUUAGCACAGGAGCUGUGCUGUAACUGUUGUAGGUAGAUGUGCAGCAUAGAAACAAAGAUUUUGCUAUCCAUUUGGCAUGUUUUCUCUCUAAAAAUGCGUUUUAAAGUUUAAACAGCCAAACUUUUGAAGAGCAGAUAUUUUUAUUGAUAGCAGUGUUUUCCACUCUUGAUAAGAGAUCAGGCUUAAAAACUACUGCAGCCAGGUAUUGUGUCUAUCUGAGGCUGCAAAAAGAAGCUCCUUUGUUGUAACUUUUCCAGUUCCAAUGUGGUAUUUUUUUGUAGUAGUUUGUCAGGUAGCUUGUCCAGGAAGCAACUCUCAUAAGAAAUAUCAUUCUAUGCAUCUUUGUAAGGUAAGUGAAAUCCUUUAAAAGUAACAGUUAUAGCAAAAAAAGAUUUUAAAAAAUAAAUAAAAAUUAAACUAAGGGCUAGUAAUGGAGUAAAAUUAUUGUCAGGAACAGUAUUUUCUUACUAAAUGUGACAGGAGAGAUACUGAUUAACAUAGACUAAUACAAAUUGAUGUUGCCUUUUGUCAGUGGCCAGAAAGUGUGAUGGAAUUAUAUACUUCCUCUCCACUGAGGAGAUCGCAGUAUUGUAUUUUGUGUGCAGCAUGACUUCAGUAUAUUUUCAAGUAGUCUCUAGCUGUGUUAGAACUACUUGGUGUAUGUAACUGUUUAUUUUGCUAAUACAAUUAUCCUUGUAAUCCCUGUGUCAAACGGAACCUGGUUUGUGUGACUGAAGCUUGUUGCUGACUGCCUGAAUCUGUUACAAGUUCUUUUGAAAUAUUUACCCCUUCAGAAUGGGAAAGGGGCAAGUCUCUAUGGUGGCUUGCUGCCUUGGAAGAGAAUAUAACUGAUUGUGAGGGGAAAAAAAAGACUCUACCAGUUGACUGAGAGUGAAAGACUGAGUGAAAAUUUGCUCUCUCUAAUCGGUAGAAGUGGUAUUUGCAAGCCAAAGAUGAGAAGUAAUGUCAGAUAGUACAAAGGUUUGAAUUUGCACUGUCGUUGCUGUCUAUCUGGAUUAAAAAAAUACUUUAAAUGCACAAAAAUGUUUCAUAUUGAAACUAAAACAUCUAAAAGUACUUUUAUUCUUCUGUGUGUUUUUGAUAUUUAAUGUCUUUUGUUAAUGCAAAUGCAGACAGUAAUUAAAGUGGAAGAAUUUUUCCAUGUUCUUUAACUGCUCGUUUUUAUGAAGCUCCUGUUUGAUCUCUCAAUUAAAUCAUGUUCCAUAUCUUA